rnacentral:misc_RNA from 1 species
UAAAGAAGAAAAGAAAAUUAUUUACAUUAAUUUCUACCAGUAUCAAUAGAGUAGAAUUUAUUCAUUCAUCAAGCCAGUCCAAAUCGUAGUGUUUCUCUGCUACCUGAACAUGGAGACUAUUCUUUCCCAAAUCCUUCCACAACCAAGAAAUCUCUUCAUCACAAAUUACAAUUCGUAAAGACUCUAAAGACUCAACAGACUUUGGUAGUUCCCAAAUCUCUGAGCAUUCCCUCAUGUCAAUCUUCACCAACAUUGAUAAUUUACCUAUCUUCUCUGGAAGACAUUUUAAAUUAAUACAUUGAGAAAUGUCUAGGUACCUCAAUGACACCAGCUCACAUGUGCUUGAUGGAAGCAUCUUCAGUGUUGGGCAAGCAUACAACCUUAGAAUUUUUAGAACUUUCAGGUUACCCAAAUUGGCAGGGAUUUCUUGUAGAUUGUGGCAAUUGGUUAUACUAAGACUGUUCAGUGAAUGCAUCCUACAAAUGCUAAGAGGUAACUUUAUCAAAUCAUCACAGUGAUCAAUUGUGAGCUCCGAGAGGGAAGGGAAGAUUUGGGCUAGGUCUAUGACAGAUUGAUCGAGGCUGUUAUUGAUCUUGCAUAGGAUGAGAGACAUUUUCUGCAAAUUUUUCAGGGGGAAGGUAGAUUCUGUCCAUUGGGCAAUUGAAACUUUUUCAAGCCAAAGGCUUUUCAAAUUGGCUAAAUCAGAAAAAGCUGAAAAAUUUUUAAGUACUGCAUUUCGUGUGCUGUAAUUUAUCACUAUCAGUGCUCUAAGCCUUGGCAUGUCAUAUAUGAAGGGAGGCAAGAAGUACUCAUUAGCUGAGAAGUUUAAGAUGAGGACUUCAGCUUUCGGGAAAUCCAUCCGGAACCAGUCCAUUUCUCUCAUCUCACCUGUAUGAAUUGAAACAAUUUGAGCAUGGAAUGGCUGAUCAGCACUUCUCACCCAUUCUUUUGGAACCUCUGCAUCUCUUCUUGGCAUAAGUAAUCGCUUGCGUUCAUUUACAUUUCCAUGAUUGGCCAAAUGAAUAGCAAGAUCCCGUAACACAUCAUGUUGAGUAACAAAAAUCUCAUAGUAACUGCUAUAUAGAUCUCCAGCUCGUGCAUCCUUCACCAAAGUGAGAAGAUUCUUGUUAGAAAGUUCAACAAGGAUAGCAAAAGCUUCUUCCCCAUUAAGGUCAUGUAUCUCAACCCACAUAUUGAUGAGAACGUCAAGAGGGAUCUUCUUGUCUUCAGGAAAGCACCCCAAAUCUAAGAAGCAUUCCCUAACCUUUUUUGACAAGAAGUUAAUACUUAUUGCCAUCCUAUCAAGCAAUUUGUUUUCAUGGGACUCGCAAAUAGGUUCACCCCUUGAUAAUCUCUUCUUUGCACUCGCCCAAUACAUCUCAGGUUGGUCCCUUAGUGAAGCUCCGAUCACUUUAAGUGCCAAAGGCAGUCCUUUGCACUCAUUUACGAUCUGCUUGACCAGAUUGGCAUCAGCAGCAGCCGGAACAGAUUUUUUUUCAAAAGCAGAAAGGCAAAAGAGGGAGAUUGCCUCAUCUUCCCUCAAAAAUUCUACUUCAUAAGUAGCACUGAGAACUGAUGGGAAUUUGAAUCGUGAAACCACAAGUGUUUUGCAUCCAGCUACUCUAAAAAUUAGCUGUUCAAGUACAGAAAGUGACCACACAUCAUCCAAAACAACCAACAUUCGAGUUCCAUUUCUCCAAUCCAAUUGUGGAUUCCAUUCGUUAAACAGGCCAUUGACACCCCCGGCCACAGCAUCACUUCCUGAAACAAAUCUCCAGAUUUUUGCCUUUAAUUGUUCCAAAUUUGGAGACUGUGAUACUGUCAAGAACAAAAUCCUAUUCUGGAAAUGACUUCUAACUUGAUCAUCCCUGCAAACUUCAUUAGCCAAAGUGGUCUUCCCAGAGCCACCAAUCCCACAAAUCCCAACAACCCCCAGAUCUUCUCUCCCAAUCACCAUCUCCUUCACCUUCCUCUUCCCCACCUCCAUGCCCACCCCCAAUAAAUUUGCUAAACUAGUAUCCCACCUCUCCUCCUCCACUUCCACUCUCUUCACUGCCUCGUCCAUCCACCCUCCACUCCCCACACCAAUCUUCAUAACCCCAAGCCUUUGCUCCAGUCGCCUCGCAGAACCCUCCAGCCUAUCAAAUCUCUCAGCUGUCUCAAACCUCAGAUGAUGGACGUCAGCCAAAACGUGUGCCUGCAUCGGUACAUUAACAAACAUCGAAAUUUUCUUUUCAAGCUUUUCCAUCUUUCUAGCAAGUUGAAGGUUUUUGUAGACAUUCCAUCGAUUGGAGAGUAGGACCUUGCGGGCAAGCUCGAUGCCAUCCCGGAGAUUGUCCGAGAGGCGGUCGAGUUGGACUUGGCGCACCGCGGGAAGUUCGACACCGGAAUAUUUGAUUUCUUGAAUGAUGGGGAGGAGUUCAUUUAUGCUGGUUAUGAGCGAAUCCGCGCUCGUUUUACACAUUAAGGAUUUGCGCGAUAUUGUUAUUAACAUUUUGAGGAGCUCGGUGGCUAUCUCGCCGGAGAAGAAGUCUGUCACCCCCAUCGCCGUUGCUCGUGGCGCGGGUUUUGGGGGAAAUUAAGGCGGGCGAGUUAUCGAGAGGAGUAACAAAAGCUACCAAUGCGCAACGUAUAAAGUCCGA